rnacentral:lncRNA from 1 species
GCUGGGGAAUAAUCAUGCAGCAGCAGCAGCAACAGUAUGGAGCAGAGAGCAGCAUCUUCCGAUUGCCUAAUCAUGCAGCAGCAGCAGCAGUCUGUCGCCGAGAGCAUGAGCAGAAUAAUCAUGCAGCAGCAGCAGUAUGGAUAUGGCAGAAAGCAGCAUCUCCUGAUUGCCGAGAGCAGCAGCAGCAACAGUAUGGAGCAGAGAGCAGCAGCAGAACCAUGCAGCUCAUGAUUGCAGCAGUAGCAGAACCAAUCAGCAUCAGCAGAACUCACUCGCGGCCGGGAUAGCAAGUCACGCCGAGCGCGGAUAGAUCCGCGCGCGACCCCUCCGUUUUCCAACUUGCCAAACUUUAGCAAGUUCUAUUCCAAUCUGUUGGAGAAGGAUUUUUCUUCUUUUUCUAAAUAAACAAGGAUAGCAAGUCAUUUUUCCAAACAAUUGG